GACGAACGCUGGCGGCGUGCUUAACACAUGCAAGUCGAGCGGUAAGGCCCUUUCGGGGGUACGACGAGCGGCGAACGGGUGAGUAACACGUGGGUGACCUGCCCUCAGCUCUGGGAGUAAGCCUGGGAAACCGGGUCUAAUACUGGAUAUGACUCCAUGACGCAUGUUGUGGGGUGGAAAGCCUUGUGCGGCUGAGGAUGGGCCCGCGGCCUAUCAGCUUGUUGGUGGGGUGAGGCCUACCAAGGCGACGACGGGUAGCCGGCCUGAGAGGGCGACCGGCCACACUGGGACUGAGACACGGCCCAGACUCCUACGGGAGGCAGCAGUGGGGAAUCUUGCGCAAUGGGCGAAAGCCUGACGCAGCGACGCCGCGUGAGGGAUGAC
rnacentral:rRNA from 1 species